GAUGAAGAACGCAGCGAAAUGCGAUAAGUAAUGUGGAUUGCAGAAUUCAGUGAAUCAUCGAAUCUUUGAACGCACAUUGCGCCCCUUGGUAUUCCGAGGGGCAUGCCUGUUCGAGCGUCAUUAUAACCCCUCAAGCUCAGCUUGGUGUUGGGGCCUGCUGCACUGGCAGCCCUUAAAAUCAGUGGCGGCGCCAUCUGGCUCUAAGCGUAGUAAUUCUUCUCGCUAUGGAGUCCUGGUGGAUGCUUGCCAUCAACCCCCAAUUUUUCUAUGGUUGACCUCGGAUCAGGUAGGGAUACCCGCUGAACUUAAGCAUAUCAAUAAGCGGAGGA
rnacentral:misc_RNA from 1 species